CCUGAUCUUUCUUCUGAAGGAGCACACUGGCCGGGUGAUGGCCCUUUCAUUCUCCAUGGAUUCAAUUCUACUGGUGACGGCAGCAGAAGAUGAAACGGUUCGUGUGUGGGAUUGCGAAGAUGGCAUGUGUAAAAAGAUCCUUAAGGACUGGACAUUUACCUGGACCGAUGGAUUGCAACAGCUCAAAAGGCAGUCAACUACCACUUUGUCAAGGACAUGUGGAGCUGAACCACAAAUGCUAGUUUGCU